rnacentral:lncRNA from 1 species
UUUUGCUUUGUCAUUAUGGGGUAUUUUGUGUAGAAUUUUUGAGGGAAAAAAGGAAUUUAAUCCAUUUUGGAAUAAGGCUGUAACAUAACAAAAUGUGGAAAAAGUGAAGUGGUAUGAAUACUUUCCGGAUGCACUGUAUAUGUUAUUAUUAUUAUUUAAUUAUUGCUCUUGGGGGCCCCCUAUUGGCUGCAGGGCCCGAAGCAGGCGCUUAGUUCACUUAUGCCUUGGGGCUUGGGCCGGCUCUUCCCAGAACAUAUGUAAGUUUCCUUUUUUGAACUAAAUUAUGAGAGACCUUCUAAUAUUUUGACCUGCACUAGUAAGUCUGCUUUAAAUGGUGAAAUCAGAAAUUGGAGUGAGAGCUGAUUUUAACCCUUAUCAAUGUGCUCAAGUGGAUUUUUACCUGCAUUUUACUGCUCUAACAAUGUCCUCUUAAUGCAGCGGACAGUUGGGCAGACUGUGAGGUACUGCAAGUUCAUGAGUGGGUGUUUGGUUUGCUGUUGCAGGGAAAACAUUUUGACAUUGUUGAGGUAGGUGCCAUCUAUGAACACUGAUAGUGAAACCAGGGACACAGGCAGCAGGAAUCACACAGCACUGGAGGUAAGGUGAUAGUGGGAAAAAAAAACAAACACUUUCAAGAAUAGAAAAACUGCAAACACGCUCUGUAAACACACAGCACUAAUCUCUAAAAUACUUUAAACACAGGCACAUAACAAACACACAAAGAGCUGCCCCCAGAAAAUCUCAGCCCUAAUCUGUCCACAGCUGUCAGCCUCCCCCACUCAACACACACACACACACACACACACACACACACACACACACACACACACACACACACACACACACACACACACACACACACACACACACACACACACACAGAUAGAAUAGGAUGAAUUCUUCAUAUCCCUGCACAAACUCAUCCACUUGCAGUACCACACAACUGUAAUUCUCAAGCUGGGUCACUGGGGUCAUGGAUGAUGAUGUUACAAUUACAAAGAUAGAUCAUGAGGAGAAAUGCCCCAAAAACAUUGAUACACAAACCAGUCUGGAUUUUUCCAUGGAAUUCAAGACUUCAUUUUAAGUCUCCAAAAUGUUCAUCCCAGCGGGAUUUCAUGAUGACAAGGCUUUUCUCCCCAUCAUCACAACUGCUCAACAAAUCUGAGCUGUUGCUUAAGAUGUUUAAGAAUAACCCCCUUUGCACACACCGACAUAUAAACACACACUUUAGCAUUCAUAUCUAAAAGCUUUAGUAUUUCAUACAAAACAGUAAAUGUCAAGUAAAGUCUUUUUUUGUGUACUGAAAUAUAAAGUUUGUCUUAGGUUCCUUUACAGAGCAUGAAAACACUUUUACUAAAUAUCAUUAUAUUUUGAUAAGGAAGAAAAAAAACCUAUGCUGGUCAUUGAUGACCUUUUUUUUUUUACAGGUUAAGGGAAGAUUUCAGAUGCUCAACAGAUUAAGGUCUACUUUGUCAUGAUUUUUGGGUUAUGAUCGGUAAAAUGUUUAUCACAGGUGAAUAUAGUCAGGACUGCUGGCAGGACUCUGAAUUGGUAUCUGAAUGGCAGCAUAUGUUCAGCAACAGUUCCUGUCAGGGUGCUGAAAGAGGGUACAACAGGUUUGAUAUACUAAAGAAUCGAGGGCAAGACAUGGGCUCAAACUUCAGCUGUACUUCAUAGACAUCAGAUGAUGUCUAUAAAGUUUUGUUUUGG